AUUGAACGCUGGCGGCAGGCUUAACACAUGCAAGUCGAGCGGAGAUGAGGUGCUUGCACCUUAUCUUAGCGGCGGACGGGUGAGUAAUGCUUAGGAAUCUGCCUAUUAGUGGUGGACAACAUUCCGAAAGGAAUGCUAAUACCGCAUACGCCCUACGGGGGAAAGCAGGGGAUCUUCGGACCUUGCGCUACUAGAUGAGCCUAAGUCGGAUUAGCGAGUUGGUGGGGCAAAGGCCUACCAAGGCGACGAUCUGUAGCGGGUCUGAGAGGAUGAUCCGCCACACUGGGACUGAGACACGGCCCAGACUCCUACGGGAGGCAGCAGUGGGGAAUAUUGGACAAUGGGCGGAAGCCUGAUCCAGCCACGCCGCGUGUGUGAAGAAGGCCUUUUGGUUGUAAAGCACUUUAAGCGAGGAGGAGGCUACCUGGAUUAAUACUCUAGGAUAGUGGACGUUACUCGCAGAAUAAGCACCGGCUAACUCUGUGCCAGCCGCCGCCGUAAAAC
rnacentral:rRNA from 1 species